rnacentral:rRNA from 1 species
CACGUAGGGGGCAAGCGUUGUCCGGAUUUAUUGGGCGUAAAGAGCUCGUAGGUGGUUCGGUAAGUCGGGUGUUAAACCCCCAGGCUCAACCUGGGGACGCCACUCGAUACUGCUGUGACUAGAGUCCGGUAGGGGAGCGUGGAAUUCCUGGUGUAGCGGUGAAAUGCGCAGAUAUCAGGAGGAACACCAGCGGCGAAGGCGGCGCUCUGGGCCGGUACUGGCACUGAGGAGCGAAAGCGUGGGUAGCAAACAGG